rnacentral:lncRNA from 1 species
AUGUUUGGCGGGUGGAUCAGUGCUGUCUUGCAGGUGGGUCAGUCAUGUCCAGUGGUUGGUUGCAACAUAUGCGGGAGUGGUUCCAGCAUGUCCAGAAGUUGGUUCCAUCAUGUCUGGCUGGUGGUUCCGGCAUGUCAGUCAUGUGGUUCCAGCGUGUUCAGCAGGUGGUUCACGCAAGUCUGGCAGGUGGUUCAGGUGUGUCCUGGAGGUGGUUCUGGUGUGUCCAGCACCUGGUUUUGGCCUGCCUGGCAUGUGGUUCCAGAAUGUCUGUAUAGUGUUUCAGGUUGCUCCAGUAGGUGUUUCAGGCUUGUCCAGCAGCUGCUUCAGGCAUGUCCAACACCUGGUUCCAGCCUGUGCUGGACCUGUUUCUGCUGUAUCUGGCAGAUGGUUCCAGCUGUCCGAAGGUGGUUCCAGAGUGCCCAGAACAUGGUUUUGGCGUAUCUGACAGGUGAUUUGGAUGUUUGGCAGGUGUUUCCAGCAUGUCCGGCACCUGAUUCUGGUGUUUUUGGCAGGUGGUUUCAGUGUAUCUGGCACCUGGUUCUGGAGUAUCCAACAGGUGGUUCUGGCAUGUCUGGCAGGUUGUUUCUGUGUGUCUGGCAUGUCAUUCAGGUACAUUCAGAAGGUGGUUCCAUUGUGUGCUGUGUGUGCUUCCGACAUGUCAUGCACUGGUUCAGGUGUGUCUGGUGGGUGAUUCUGUCGUGUCCAGCAGGUGGUCACAGAGCAUCUGGCAGUUGGUUGCACCAUGUCCCAGACCUGAUUCUGGUGUGUGUGGAACAUUGCUCUGGUGUGUCAGUGGUGGUUCCAGUGUUUCUGGCAGUUGGUUCCAGCAUGUCUGGUGGGUGGUCCUGGCAUAUAAGGAGCCUGGUUCCAGUGUAUCCAGCAGGUGAUUUUGGCAUGUCCAAUAUAUGGUUCUUGCAAGUCAAGCAGGUGUUUCUGGCGAGUCAAGCAGGUGCUUCUGGCAUGUUGGGCAGGUGGUUCAGGUGUUCCCAGCAGGUGUUUCAGGCCUGUCCAUAA